CCUACGGGAGGCAGCAGUCGAGAAUAAUUCACAAUGGGGGCAACCCUGAUGGUGCAACGCCGCGUGGAGGAUGACGGUCUUCGGAUUGUAAACUCCUGUCAUCUGGGAGUAAGGCAUGGUUGUGAAUAGCAAACAUGAUUGAUAGUACCAGAAGAGGAAGGGACGGCUAACUUCGUGCCAGCAGCCGCGGUAAUACGAAGGUCCCAAGCGUUGUUCGGAAUCACUGGGCGUAAAGGGAGCGUAGGCGGCGUGGUAAGUCAGAUGUGAAAUCCCGGGGCUCAACCCCGGAACUGCAUCCGAUACUGCCAUGCUAGAGGAUUGGAGAGGUAGCUGGAAUUCUUGGUGUAGCAGUGAAAUGCGUAGAGAUCAAGAGGAACACUCGUGGCGAAAGCGAGCUACUGGACAAUUCCUGACGCUGAGGCUCGAAGGCUAGGGUAGCGAAAGGGAUUAGAUACCCCUGUAGUCCUAGCAGUAAACGGUGCACGCUUGGUGUGAGGGGAAUCGACCCCCCUUGUGCCGGAGCUAACGCGUUAAGCGUGCCGCCUGGGAAGUACGGUCGCAAGACUAAAACUCAAAGAAAUUGACGGGGACCCGCACAAGCGGUGGAGUAUGUGGCUUAAUUCGAUGCAACGCGAAGAACCUUACCAAGGCUUGACAUGCAUCUCUAAACACGUGAAAGCGUGUGACCCUUCGGGGAAUUUGCACAGGUGCUGCAUGGCCGUCGUCAGCUCGUGUCGUGAGAUGUUGGGUUAAGUCCCGCAACGAGCGCAACCCUUGUGAUUAGUUGCCAGCACGUCAUGGUGGGAACUCUAAUCAGACUGCCCAGAUCAACUGGGAGGAAGGUGGGGACGACGUCAGGUCAGUAUGGCCCUUACGCCUUGGGCUGCACACGUACUACAAUGCCCAGCACAAUGAGAACCGAUACCGCGAGGUGGAGGAAAUCUGUAAAACUGGGCUCAGUUCGGAUUGGAGGCUGCAACUCGCCUCCAUGAAGUUGGAAUCGCUAGUAAUGGWGCAUCAUCUACGGCMCCGUGAAUACGUUCCCGGGCCUUGUACACACCGCC
rnacentral:rRNA from 1 species